GACGAAGGGGGCUAGCGUUGUUCGGAAUUACUGGGCGUAAAGCGAGUGUAGGUGGUUGUCGUAGUCAGGUGUGAAAGCCUUGAGCUCAACUCAAGAAAUGCACUUGAUACUCGGCGGCUAGAGGACCGGAGAGGAUAGUGGAAUUCCCAGUGUAGUGGUGAAAUACGUAGAGAUUGGGAAGAACACCAGUGGCGAAGGCGGCUAUCUGGUCGACCUCUGACGCUGAGACGCGAAAGCGUGGGGAGCGAACGGG
rnacentral:rRNA from 1 species